rnacentral:rRNA from 1 species
CGAGCGUUAAUCGGAAUUACUGGGCGUAAAGCGCAUGCAGGUGGUUUGUUAAGUCAGAUGUGAAAGCCCGGGGCUCAACCUCGGAAUAGCAUUUUGAAAACUGGCAGACUAGAGUACUGUAGAGGGGGUAGAAUUUCAGGUGUAGCGGUGAAAAUGCGUAGAGAUCUGAAGGAAUACCGGUGGCGAAGGCGGCCCCCUGGACAGAUACUGACACUCAGAUGCGAAAGCGUGGGGAGCAAACAGGAUUAGAUACCCUGGUAG